rnacentral:rRNA from 1 species
UCUGGAGGAAUACCNGGUGGNGAAGGCGGCCCCCNNGGACAAAGACUGACGNNNNAGGNNCGAAAAGCGUGGGGGAGCAAACAGGAUUAGAUACCNUGGUAGUCCACGNNGUAAACGAUGUNGACUNGGAGGUUGUUCCCNNGAGGAGUGGNUUCCGGAGCUAACNGCGUUAAGUCGACCGCCUGGGGAGUACGGCCGCAAGGUUAAAACUCAAAUGAAUUGACGGGGGCCCGCACAAGCGGUGGAGCAUGUGGUUUAAUUCGAUGCAACGCGAAGAACCUUACCUACUCUUGACAUCCAGAGAACUUAGCAGAGAUGCUUUGGUGCCUUCGGGAACUCUGAGACAGGUGCUGCAUGGCNGUCGUCAGCUCGUGUUGUGAAAUGUUGGGUUAANUCCCGCAACGAGCGCAACCCUUAUCCUUUGUUGCCAGCGNUNCGGNCGGGAACUCAAAGGAGACUGCCAGUGAUAAACUGGAGGAAGGUGGGGAUGACGUCAAGUCAUCAUGGCCCUUACGAGUAGGGCUACACACGUGCUACAAUGGCAUAUACAAAGAGAAGCGACCUCGCGAGAGCAAGCGGACCUCAUAAAGUAUGUCGUAGUCCGGAUUGGAGUCUGCAACUCGACUCCAUGAAGUCGGAAUCGCUAGUAAUCGUAGAUCAGAAUGCUACGGUGAAUACGUUCCCGGGCCUUGUACACACCGCCCGUCACACCAUGGGAGUGGGUUGCAAAAGAAGUAGGU